rnacentral:lncRNA from 1 species
AGCCGCGUCUGCAACCUACACCACAGCUCACGGCAACGCCGGAUCGUUAACCCACUGAGCAAGGGCAGGGAUCGAACCCGCAACCUCAUGGUUCCUAGUCGGAUUUGUUAACCACUGUGCCACGAUGGGAACUCCUCUAGUUGCAACUGCAGUGCAGUUCCAAUCCUUGGUCUGGGGAUUUCCACCUACCAAAACAAAAACAAAAACCCGAAACCCUCUAGAUAGUUGAGAACUACUGUACUGAUCCUGAAGAUGAAAGAAGUAUUUAGGUAGUCUCAUCCAUCCUUGUAAGCAUCACUUGGCUAUUUCAUUUUGGAUCUUGUUCUGACAAGAGUGAGCCUUGAUUAGAGAUUCACUAUAAUCUUUACAUAAUUCAACACUUCCUCCUGCUGAACCCCUAUAACAAGCUGGGUUACACAACUUCUCUGAGUUUUCAUUGUCCAAGCUGGUGAAGUCAGUGUCAAGCUUCCGUCUUUCCUCACUGUUAAGUCAAAUGCUAUAUUUUGUUAACAAAUUCCAAAGUUUGGACAACAAAAGCUUUUAUAGAGUAAAUGCUGUUUUUAAUAUCUCUGUAAAACUGAAAAUGAGAGAAAAAACAGAUUCAAGGAUGUUGGAUAUGAAACUGUAUCCAGAACAAAUUUUGACAAUACUAGGGCAAGAAUUCAUUGUUUCAUUCCUCCAAACCCACAAAUAUUUAUGUAACACCUAUUCUGUGCAAUUAAUUGCACGGGGAUAUAAAGAUAAAUCUGAUAAGACUUUGUACUUCAUAAGCUUAAAGAACACUAGGAAUGUAUUUAUUCAUGAAUAAUCAUAAUACAGAAUAAAAAGUGCUAAGGUCCAUAAGAGAAGAUCCAGUGAUAUUCUCAGAACUGUUACUUGAUUGUCUUUGUUUUUGCUUCUUAGUUUUAGCUUCAAAGUGACUCAUUUAAUCUGCUUGAAUACACAUUUUUCUUUACUCAACAGGCUUAUCGUUUUGGAAUCCAAGUCAGGGCUCUCCAGACUAUAUGUCCCUUAAUAGAAACAAAAGUUCCAUACAAAUCUAUGAAUUUAUUUAACCCCCAAUAGAACCUUUUGAGAUCAGUAUUACCACAAAUUUAAAGAACAUGAAACAGCAGCCCAGAGCAUUUAUACUUAAAACUUGUGCCAAAUCACUUAGAAAGAAGCAGAACAUAAGUCAGGAACUUAAGUUUUCUGACUUCCACAUCUAGUUCAAUACUUUCGCCAUGGUUACAGGUAAUAUAAUUUAGGAAAAAGAAAGAAAUUUGUGGGGAGGAUUUAUUAUAAGGAAGGUCAAAUCUACCAAUGAAGUCAUGGAAGAUGAGGACUUAGGAAACGUAUUUGAACUUGGUGAUCAGAAGGCAUUGGUGAGUUAGCUGCAAAUUUCUUUCCUUCUGCCUACUAUAAUCAAUUUUCAAGUUUUAAAUAUAACCCUUCAUUAAAAUUUCAAAUCCUUUCACUGUUCUCCAUGUAGGACCUUUUAUGGUUUGACCCCAUUUUACUUGUCCAAUAUCAUUGCUCCAUAUUUUAUACCUCAUAAUCAAUGAUACAAACAAAUGAAACUAUAUAUUUUUUACUCUCCUUGAGAGUAUUAUAGGAACACUCCAAGGUAUUCUUGGAGUGGCCUUCCCACCUCUUUUCCCUCUUCACUUAGUAUAGAUGCUGUCUUUUUAAGGCAGCCAUUCCAGACCACACAUCCCAGUGUGGUUUAGGUGCCCCUCUUACUUUUCUCCACAAUAUCCCUUACUUCUUUUCUAUGGAUUAAUACAAGAAUACUAUAGUUUUUUUGGGUUUUUUGUUUUCUUUUCUGGCAGCACCUGCAGUAUAUGGAAAUUCCUGAGCCAGGGAUUGAAUCUGAGCCACCUAUGCCACAGCUGUGGCAAAGUGGGACCCCCAACCUGCUACAUCAUGACUAUAGUUUAAUUACCAUUUGUCUUGUCUCUUUUCCCCAUUAAACUAUGAAGUCCUUGAGGGCAGGAUUAUGCCCUGUUCAUAAUACAAAAUGGUUGCAUUUUCAAAAUUUAGCAUAGUGGCUUUUGCAUACAUAUUUGUUAAAUGAAUGAAUGAAAAAGAAUAUAAGGAGUUACAAAGCAGCUAUUCUAAUGUGACCUCAAGAGCAAAGGCUCUGCUUAUAGGUCUCAGACAGUAUGUUUUGAUCAAACACCGUAAUAUGAAUCUAGCUACUUAAACACUGGAUUUCUUUGGCAAGGAUAUCAAGUUUUCCUCUACCAUUUCCUGUGAGCAAUUUUGCUUAAGAAAAUGUGGUCACCAUUAUUCUUUCAGAGAUGCAACUCUAGAAGAACUGCAUGAAAUCUGAGAGAUUUCUGCAACUUUGAUGAGUUGUAUUGAAAUGUGGAAUUUCCCUAGCUUAGAUCAAGCUAGGAAGUACUUUAGAUAACAAUUCUAAAUACUUAGCAGUAUUGAGAAUUUUGCUAAUCUACACGAGGGACUAUAAAGUGAGUAAAAUAAUAGAAUUUUCAAGCUAAUACUCACAUAGGAAGAACUUAAUGAAUUAUUUGUAAUGAUAAUGGAUCUCAGUGUUUGAAGGGCCAAAUGAGGUCACAGUGUCCAUCCAUCCAGUGUCUUUGGAAUAUCAUUCAGUUCUUUGGAAUAUUGCUUUCUUUUCAGUUCUUGGAAUAUUUUCUUUGGAAAUAGAGUUCAGUUCUUUGGAAUAUUUUUUUGAGUCACUUCGAGUUGGUUACCAGAACUUUGAAUGACUAUCGAAAAGAAACCAUGAAGUUAUAGACAUGGGCUAAAUACACAAUCCAUAACCUAGGAAUGCCUAUCCACACACUCUUGACAUUACUGUCAAUUCACCUUUAUUCCAGGUUUUCAUGAAGAUGUACUGUAUAAACGAUGCUUACAAAUGCUCUCAGUACCUAGUAUAUUGUUAGAGCACUUAAAAAUUAUAUAUACUUUGGAUGGCAAAAAUGCACUAAAUUUAAUUUGUGCAUAGAGAAUGUACAUAUAAAGAAACAUAAAUUUUGUUCACAACACUGUAUUUAGCAUUUAUUAUUGUUAAGUUUGUUCCAUAGAAUUUACUGAAAUUUAAAAUCAUCCACUUCGCCUUGAAGAGGUAAUAUUAAGAUCACUGUACAUUAGAGAAUUAACUCAACUCACUUUUUCCAGACAACUUCCCCAUUCAUACUACAAAUGCAUUAUAACAUAAGUAUACAGGAGUAUAGGAAAAUAGCAUAGGUAUGUAGUGGUAUGGAAGAGAUUUUGAGCCUGAAUUUGAUAUGAUAGCAUUGAUAUCAUUUAAAUCCAAUCCUGUCACUUGUUCUAAUUUGCUAAGCAAUAAAGAACUGUGCAUCCUUUUGAACAAACAACUUAGCCAAUGCAUAAUUUUUCAUUCUUUGGGUAGUUCAUGUAGGAGCAAAUGAAAGAUUUUGUUUUAAAUGGAGUCACAUUUCUAAAUGAAUAUGGGGGAAAAAGACUGUCAAAUAUCCACACUUCAUUAUUAACUCAUCUAUCCUUUUAAUGUCUGUUAUUUUCUUUAAUAAUAGUUAAAAAUGCUUAUUGCUUGUUAGUUCUGACAAUGAAAUGACAAUUUAUGCAAUUUCUCCCCUAUAGUUUCAUUUUAAAUCUCCAUUUAAGCAGUUUACCUUCUAGCAUGACCAGAGACAAAGAGAACCAGUCUAGAUUUGUAUUGUGUAUGUGUGUGUGUUUUGUACAUCCAGACUUGAAGCUAUCAUUUAAAGUUACAUAGAUUUCUUAUCCAAAGGGAUGUAUAAUUAAAUAAAAAGGGAGCAUAUAUUAAUUGAGUCGACUUCAGGAUCUGCUCCUUUGUAUAAAGGGCUUUCACAUGCCUUCCUCCUGAAUUCGGAAAGCACAGGGUUCCUUAUUCCCUUCACCAUGAAUAAGGCCGACAUUUGACAGCUUCACAAGGCUGACAGGGUUACCCAACAGCCCACCCUCCCUAUUCUCAAUCCAAUUAGACCUCUAAUCCUCCAGAUGAAAGGCCCAACUGCUCACGUUCCUCAUGACAACGACAGCUAUUGAUUAUUUGUCACCGCAGCUAACACCUUCCCUGUCGAGGCUGCUCUGACAGAAGCAAACCUACCAAAUUAGACAGCACUUUAUCUGCCCUGGAGGCCAAAUGGCACAACAAGUAAAGGCUAAUAAAUGGUAUAAAAAUGAACAAAUCAUAACAUUAUGACAGGCUGAUCGUUGCCAGCAGCCUCCCAGCUCAAGCUUGAUGUUCUGUUAGGCUUGCUCCUUCUCUUUCCCCUCUGCUCUAGCUCCAACUUUGACUGAAUUAAAGGCCAGAACAAUUAAGGCAUUUGACCAGCAAAGAUAAGCCAAUUGAAGUAUCACCAAGGGACAUAAAUGUCAAUAACUGACUGCCAUUUGUCAAUACAAACAUUCUGGAGAUGCAAAUGCUCAGGUCUCUGCUCUCCACUAGGCAGCACUGACUCACUUUCCAACAAGAGUCAGCUUAAAUGGACAGUCUGUGGCUAUUUAACUAGAAGGAAAAAAAAAAAGGAAAGGAAAAGGAAUAUACAGUCCCAAGAGAGGAAGUAUUCUAUGAAGAACAAGCAGGGGCCAUUGGGGUGGGGGUGGAGGGUUGUAUGAGAAAAAGACUAGCAAAAGAGUAGCAAAGCAGAGCUACUCUUCCUUUAAAAAAAAUAGUGUAAUAUCAGACAACUGGAAUAUCAUCAUAGGUUUUUAGUUGAGAAUACGUGCAUAAUAUAGGAAAUGCCAGGCCACCUGGGAAAGCUAAUAAAGCUGUAACUUCAUAAGUAUACUCAUUCAAUGAAUAUUUUUUGAGCAACAACCAUGUUUCAAGGACUGUUCAAGGAAAUGUGGACAAAGAAGGGAAAAAAACAGGCCAAAAAGGUUCCCAACUUCAUGGAGUUUACAUUCUAGUGGGGUAAAAGCAAUAAACUAGGUAAAUAAGUAAAGCACAUAGUAUUUUAGGUGGUGUGGUGGUAAGUGCUAAGGAAAAAAAGGAGAGUAGGUAAAAUAAUAUGUGUGAAGUGAGGGGGUAUUAGAUAGGAGAGCCAGGGAAGGCUUUACUAAAACAAUGACUGUUGAAUAAAGACCUGAAUGAAAGUGAGAGAGUUGAACACGGAGAUACUUAUGGGAUGGCAUUCCCAGCACAGGGAAGAGCAAAUGCAAAACCUUGAGGCAAGGGCACUCUUUGCUUCUUAGAGGAACCGCACUGAAACCAGAGUGGCUUAUUCAGAGGAAAGAGAGGAAGAUUAAAAAUUAAGUCAUAUAGAUAACAGGAGAUUCAAAAUAUAGGGCUUUAUAAUGCACAGGAAAUACUUUGGCUUUUACUCUGAGAUGGAAAACCCUUGGAGGGUCUGAAGUAUAAGAGUGACAUGAUUUGACUUAGGUUUUAAGGAUUGUUCUGGCUGACAUGAUGACCAUAGUGUGCAGGGGGCAAGAGCAGAAGCCAGGAGACCAGUUAGGAGGCCACUACAAUAAUCCAAGCAAGGCUACUACAUUAAUCCUAUCCAAAUGCUGAUGGUUACUAUCAGGAUGGUGGCAAAUAGGGUGUUGAGAAGUGGCUGAAUUCUGGAAACAUUUUGGAAUGCAAAGCUGACAAGAUGUGCUGAUGGACAUCAAUCUUACACAAGAGAACAGGACUCUGCAUGAUAAUGGGUGCUCAAUGUAUGUUAGUUGAAUCGAAUUCUAUUCCUGGCAGUUCUAUUAAAAAUGCUCGACUUUGAAGUAAGGGAGCAGUGUCAAGUCAAAUUUUUUUAAAGAUGAAUUUAGGCAAAGACUUUGGAGUCAGAUAGAUCUGUGUUUGAAUCCUGGCUCUGCCACUUAGUGAAAUAUCACUCUUCGAGUCUCAUUUUCUUCAUCUAUGCAAUGUGAU